AAACAAACAAACAAACAAACAAAUAACUUAGAAUAGAAAUGUUCUCAGCAUAGAGAUUUAUGAAAACAAGGAUAGUGAAAAUAGACAAAAUUAAGUAAAAUCACAAAUUCCCUCAGCAUCAUCAGUAACAUCCAUAAGCUUGAAUUACAAAUUAGCAAUUCUACAAUCUUUAAAAGUGGAUGCUAUAUUUAUCACCCACCCAUGAAAUCUCUAAUUCCCUAAUCACUAAAAAGAAAGUGAAACAAGCAAGCGAAUUGAAAUAGUGAGAUAAGGAUGAAAACCCACCUGUAAACAGUUG
rnacentral:misc_RNA from 1 species